CUUGAGGGCUUUGGGCACAACUGUGACAUCUCCAUACCCUGCAAACCCUUCAGAGAACCUGUGUCUCCUCUGAGGAGGGUGUUUUCACAUGUGUGAACAAGAAAUAACCCCCUUUUCCCCAAAGCUGUCCUUGGCAGGAAAUUAAAGCUUUCUCCUUAACUCUCCACGGACCUCUCAGAUGUACAGCUAGUGAAGCAGCUUGUAAAGGAAACACUUUCCCGCCACAGGAAGGCAUUUGUCUGCCUAAUGACCUGCAAGCAGGAAGGAUAUUCGGUAACCUCAUUUUGUUCUGUUGACCUUCGCCGGAGACACCUCAACUGAUCCUUUUAAAAGAAGAUGGGACAAUGAGCAUAAUGGGUGCUCAAGAAAACUUUCAGUUCAUUUUUCUCUGUCAGUUGAUUGUCUAUUUUAAUCCUUAAGCCUGUAAGUUUAAAUUUGUAUUUGUUCCACAGUCAUCUUUCAAACACUUCUGAUACACAAGGCUGUGUGCUAUGCAGGUGAGGAGACAAAGUAAACUCGUGUCCUGAGAGAGGCUCUGCUGUGGGGGCAGGCUCGGGGGGAGGCCGCAGUGUGCAAGACCGAGGUGGAAGCUGCACAGGACCAAAGGGCCAGGGAGACUGCCUAUGGCCGAUCUUUGUUGCCUCUUCUGCUCAGAAGCAUCUGGAUAAUACAAUUUUGGUUGCAGAUUUUGCUUAGUAUGUAUUUCUUCUAUUGAUGCACAUGAGUUGUGGUAUAUAUUGUGAGAGAGAUAUGGAU
rnacentral:lncRNA from 1 species